UCUCGGAAGAAGAAACGUAUCUUAGUGACAUGUGUCACAAUAUGAGAAGGUGAAGGAAAAGUGAGUUUGGUCUCUCUCUCUUUCUCUCGAUACGAACGGCAAAUUCUCAUCAUCUAUCUAUCUAUCAACAUGGCAACAAUGGCGAUUCGUGCCGUAGCCAGCAGAAAAAACCCUAGUGGGCCUUAAAGGAGGCAUCUUCGAGGCUUCUUGGUUUCCGAUCAAUCCAGACCUUCACGCUUCUUAACCUCCCCUAUGAUUACAGCGCGCUGGAGCCGGCGAUCAGCGGCGAGAUCAUGCAGAUCCAUCACCAGAAGCAUCACCAGGCAUACGUCACAACGUGAGGGAGGUGAUAUAGUAAACCCGAGCGUGUAAGUUGAGUCCUUUUCUUCUUUCUCGUCGUCACUCACCUACUUACCCGUUUCUUCUCAUCACAAAGGUUUGAUCAAUGAUUCUUGAUUGGGAAGUUAGUUACUUUUGGUGGUUUCUUAAAUGUGAACUCUGAUACGUGAAGCUGCUUGUAUGGGUUCGUUUCUUAGUUCCAUGAGUUUCUCCUCGACAGAACGCUGAUCACUUUUUCUCUAGGUACUUUGGUUUGUAGAUUCUUGAAUCAUGUGCUCUUUGGUCAAUGUGAACUCCAUGAUACGCGAAGCUGCUUGUUGCUGAUGUGAAGAAGAACAUAGAGAUUGUGUUGGGAGUUGUUGCAUAUCCUGCUGCAGAACAAAUGGAAACAUAACCAAAGGCAAAAGCCAGAUUCUCCUUCUCUGUUACUUAUACUUCAAUAGAACAGCAACAAUGUAGAGUCGUCAGAGCUAGCGUCCUCGGCGGCGGUGGAGGAGGUUCCGGUGGUAGCGAGAGCUGCGUUGCGGUGAGGGAGGAUUAUGCCGACGAGGAAGAUUUCGUGAAGGCUGGUGGUUCGGAUAUUAUGUUCGUUCAAAUGCAGCAGAACAAAGACAUGGAUGAAAAGUCUAAGCUAGUUGAUGAAACAACCACACUAUUACAGGACUAGCUGUUGCUUUAUCAGGCAACUACUUCAGAGUACAAAGUAUACCAAGACUAAGUCCUGAGUAACUCUGUAAAGUUUGCUCAGGUGAAGAAAACACUUGCUAUGAUUUUGAAUGGAGUAAAUAUGAGGUUUGUACUAUAUACAUCACAUGAUUAAUGUUACAAGGCUCGAAAACGUUCAACGUUACAACUUACAAUCCUUUGUUCUUCCUUCUCAUGCUCUUCUUUUCUUUCUCCUUCUCGUAUUCUUUCUUUUCAUGUUCAAAAUAUUCAUAUAAAUCUAAAACAAUUUCUAUCUUGUAAACAAUUUUUAUAAACCAUUUUCAUCUUAUGGUAUCUUCUUCUCAAAACAAUUUUUUUUCAUAAGAACCCCUCAUCUCAAUAAGAGACUUGCAUUGGAGGCGCUAAAUUUGUUGGUCUCUCGAUUAUGUCUCUUAACCUCACAUUUACUACUUAAUAAUAUUAAACAAAUAUUAAGAGACCCAAAAAGGAGCUCUAGAAUAAUCAUGCUCUAAGAGUCGUCUCUUAGCCGAAAAAUAUAUAAAAAAAGUCAAAUCAUGAGUUAUGAACCCUAGCUAAGAGACCGGAUCGAGUUAAUCAUGCUCUUAGGUUCGAAACUGUUAUUAAUAAAUUUAAUAUGCAAUAUUUCGUGAUUAGAUGCAAAUAAAACAGAUGUUUGCCAUUUCUAAUAAUCUGGUUAAUUGGUAGCUUAAAUAAAAGGAUCGUAGUUUACCUUGAACUAAAAUAUUUAUACAAUUAUCUUUGGUGAGUCUUUAAUAUUAACCAUUAAAAAUGAAUAGAAAAAAGAAGAUUUUCUUUUUGACAAAAACAUAUGAAAGACUAGCAAUUGUUUUUUGAUCAAAAAAAAAAAAGACUAGCAAUUGCUAUAAUUUUCUCAACAGUACUUGACAGUAUUUUAAUAGUUGAUGAUUUUUCACGUUAAAGUAUAUUGUUGAAAAUUUAUGAAAUUUUUACAUGUUCUCGCACGUAGCAUUUACUAGUCAACAUGUGAAUUAAAUGCGAUGUGGAAAAUGCAGGUAAGAAAAACAAAUUAUGAUCUAUUGAGAUCAUUUCAUGGUUUUAAAUGAGUGACAGAAAAUUCAAUACAGAUAAUCAUUUAUCUAUCUAUCUAUUAUUAUAAAAGAAAGUUUCUCUCAUUUUUAGGCCAUCAACGUCAUAUGUCAGGCUGACAUGUGUUCAGGAAGAUUAAACUCAGUGUUUCAUUUAUUUCUUUUGUGAUGGGCUUUGAUUUACCUGUGUGUUUAAGUGUUUGACCUCUAGCCAGAAAGGUGUUUUACAAACUUAGGGUUCAUUGUCUUCUUCGAACUGUCCUUCUCCAAUAUGCGACGUCUUUAGCCAGCCAUGGAGAUUCAGCAUGUCGUUUCGGAGGAAUCGUUUCGAGGAGACUAUGUGUCAUGCACGACGCUCUCAUUCAAUGAUAUUUAUCCCUGUCAGAGCCGGUGUUUCUCCACUUAUAAAUAGCUGGCCACUUUUCUUCCACCCUCGAAGUGAGGCUACUGAUUUUUUUGGGAAGCUAUAGGAACGUCGGAGUUGAUGGGAGUCGAUAUGCUUCUCCUAGAUGCCAAGAUAUCUAUCUCGAACAACAGCGCGUCCACGGUUUGCUCAGGUGUGAAGCUAGAGAACAUAAGGAAGAGCUCCAAAAGCGUCAUUAUGCUCAAGUACGUUACCUGGAUGUAAAAAGAGGAGACAAAGCAGGGUUAGUAAGGGGUUAACGGAGCGGGGAAGAUGACCCAGCUCAUGAUCAUCAAGAACCCGAUUCAGGUUACAUUAUCAAGGCCAACCCAAUAUAAAAGUUACAUUCUUGAGCCAAGAGUUCGAGGUUUCCAUGAGCAGGACUGUGAAGGAAGAGUUCAUGGGUGCUUUCAAGGAAGAGAUGAGAUAACCAAGAAGCUGGAGAAAAUUCAGAAGGCUAUUGAAGGGUCUGUUGAUGGUUUGGAACUUAUGGGGAGGUUCUUAGACGAGUUUGAUAUGUUGCAGAGAAGAUCUCAAGCUGUGAACUUAGACAUGGUCUAUGUUAAAGUUAGUAAGCUGAUACCGGGGUUAGGGUUUGUACCGGAGGAUGCUGAUGGGCUUGUGGCUUCGUUUAGCGGUGGAUGGCAAAUGAUAAUGUCACUCAGAAAUAUUCAGCUUUGGGUAGGAACAGAAUAAACACACAUUGAAUGGUCUGCAUUUAGAAGCAAACCGUUUGAAUCUUGAUACUAUUGAAUGGCUUGAAGGCUAUUUGCAAAAGAAAGAGGUGCCUAUGGUUAUAAUCUCACACGACAGAGCCUUCCUUGAUCAGUUGUGUACCAAAAUUGUGGAAGCCGAGAUGGCUGUUCGAAGAACAUUUGAGGGUAACUACUGUCAGUAUAUGAUCUCAAAGGCUUGACGUGGGUGAAAACUUUGGCCGUGUUCAACUGUCGAAAAGAUUAGGUGGUUGAAAUGCUUCAAUGAUUUCCUAAGCACAACUGGUUGAUGGUUGAGAGAGAUGCAUGUGACACAAGCAAACAAGAAAAGGAAAAGAAACAGCAGGGAAGCAUGUGACACAAACAAACAACUUUCAAAUGUCGUAGCAUGUGAAUCCUAAAGUUCCAUAUGUUUCAUAUUCUUCCUUUAUAAUGUAGUAGCAUGUUUAGAAAAUUGUAUUCUCCAAAUUGUGCCAAACGGUUUCUUUCUCUCUUUUUUUGCUGCAUUGUAAAAUUCAAAUUGUGCCAAACGUUUUCUCUCGUUUCAUAUUCUCUCAAACUAUUUCUCUUUUGUCAUCUCUCUCUUACCAUUUCACUUUCAAAUGUCUUCCUCUUCUUCUUCUUCACAAAAUUUUGAAGAUAUUUCGGAUGAAGCAUUUGAUCAACAUUGGGACGAACAAUUCGAGCAACUUUACACUCACCAUGAAAAUCGUCAAGCAGCUGCAAAGUCCAAAAAAAAGAGCUUACAUUGAAAGACAACGCGAAUAAGGACACAUGCAGUUGUGGAACGAUUAUUUUAGUGAAGAUGCAACAUAUCCUUCUUACAUGUUUCGACGCCGUUUUAGAAUGAACAAGUCUUUGUUCAUGUGAAUUGUUGAUCGACUCUCCGCUGAAAUUCCAUACAUUCAACAAAGAAGAGAUGCUAUUGGAAGGUUCGGUCACUCUCCAUUACAAAAGGCAACAGCAGCAAUUCGUAUGAUGGCAUAUGGUUGCCCAGCUGAUGCAGUCGACGAAUACCUCCGACUUGGUGAGACCACCGCGCUUUUAUGCUUGGAACAUUUUGUACAAGGAAUCAUAGAUUUAUUUGGAGAAGAAUAUCUAAGAAGACCCACACCAGAAGAUCUUCAACGACUCCUUGAUACUGGAGAGGAGCGCGGAUUUCCCGGGAUGAUAGGAAGCAUCGAUUGUAUGCAUUGGGAGUGGAAGAAUUGUCCGACCGCUUGGAAAGUUCAAUAUACACGUGGAUCAGGAAAACCAACUAUUGUUUUAGAGGCUGUAGCUUCAGAAGAUCUUUGGAUAUGGCAUGCGUUUUUCGGACCUCCGGGUACCUUAAACGAUAUCAAUGUUCUUGAUCGAUCACCGAUUUUUGAUGAUAUAUUACAAGGUCGAGCUCCAAAAGUCAAUUAUACUGUUAACGGACAUAACUACCGUUUGGCUUACUAUCUCACAGAUGGUAUUUAUCCAAACUGGGCUACUUUUGUCCAAUCUAUUCGAGAACCGCAAGGUCCAAAAGCAUCCUUAUUUGCUACAAAGCAAGAAGCUGUUCGUAAAGAUGUCGAGCGUGCUUUUGGGGUCUUGCAAGCUCGAUUUGCCAUUGUCAAAAAUCCAGCUCUUUUGUGGGAUAAAAUAAAAAUUGGAAAGAUAAUGAGAGCAUGUAUCAUUCUUCAUAAUAUGAUCGUGGAAGAUGAACGAGACAAGUACACACUUACUGAUGUAUCAGUUUUCGAACAACCGGAAUCAAGCCGAAGUUCACAUGUCGAUUUAAACUUUUCAACACAGAUGCCUACAAAUCUCCAUAAUGUUAUGGGCAUGCUGACCAUUCGGAAUGAAGUCCGUGAUAACCAAAUACAUCAACGACUGAAAGCUGAUUUGGUUGAGAAUAUAUGACAAAAGUUUGGAACUCCUCAAGAUUUUAACUAAUCAGUUUUUUCUCGUUCACGAUUUGUAUUUGUAUUAUUAAUAUGUUUUGUGUAAUAUUUAUUAAAACUUUUAUGUAUGCUUUUAUUUUAAAUCAUUCUACUUUAAAAAAAAAAAAAAAUUUUAAGGAACCUCAAUGUGGUUCUACCAAUGGAGGAUGAAAAAUUAAAUACACUAACAUGAGUCCUUAAGCUAUCAAAUCACAAAAUUAAAUACUACUUUAAUGUUAAGUACCCAUUUGGACUCCUUACUGAUGGAGGUGGUCUUACGCUUCUAGUGUAAAAGCUCCGGUUAAUCAUUAUCUUAAAUUCUUAAUUAAUUAGUUUUUCACUCUCUCGUAAGAAAAUAAGAGUAUGAUUAACCAGGUUUUUAAUUUGAGUUUUUUAACUCAUGAUUUAACAUUUUUUUUGUUUUUUUUUUGUUUUUUUACACUUUUCGGUUAAGAGCCGGCUCUUGAAGCAUCAUUAGUGAAGUGCUUAAAAAACUUUUUAAUUUGUAUUUGUCUGAAAAAAAAAAAAAAAUUAAAAAAAAUAAUCAAUCGCGGACCGCCACGUGUCAGUAGGGCCCGCGAACAGUGCAAGCAACAGCAGCUUGUGACGUCUAAUUAAGCACUGCUGCUUCUUCUUCUCCUCUUUCUUUUUUUUUAAUUAAAAAAUUGCUAAGUACCCCUUAAGCAACAAAGGUUAAUGGUGCUCUUAUAUCUCAUAUUUAAGAGAUGAUUCUUAGUUUUUCUUAGUUAAAAGCUAAGAAACAGUUCUUAGACGAAGCUAAGAAUCCCACCCUAAGAACCCGGAUUAAUCAUGAUCUAAUGUACUCUUAUUUGGAUAUCUCCUGUACAGUCUGACAUGGAAGAUAAUUUCCACAUGUCCACUAGUAAAAGAUCAAUCAGACCAGAAGAUGAACUAGUGGAGCUACUUUGAGAGAUGGCCAAGUGGUUUUACAAAGCCAAGUACGAAGAGAAUCAUCAGUCCAAGUCCAAAACUCCAAACAUGAUCUAGCCCUACGAAAACCCAACACUACUUUUCUUGACUACCAAGAAACAGUACCCACACACUAUAACACUCUUCAAGAAGAUCAAAAAACCGUCUCCUGGAUCCAAUACCCUCCUGAAGACGUAGUUGACCCCUUUGAAUCCGAGUUCUCCUCCCAAUUCUUCUUUUCUUUCGACCACCUUGAUGGUCCACCUUAUCCCGAGAAGCCACAAACGAUAGAAGAUACUAUUAAACAUGAGGCUCAAGCUAUGGCUCCUCCUAAGUUUAGGUCCUCGGUUGUAACCGUUGGAACAAGCCAUUGUGGGAGCAACCAGUCUACAAAUGAUCAUCAGGUGACACAUCCUCAGUUUCCUAUGAGUGAUAGAAGCAAGAACGUCGAACAAAGACUUGACACUUCGUCUGGUGGCUCGUCCGGUUGCAGCAAAGAAAAUGAGAGUGGAAGAAGCGUAACCAUUAGCCGUAAAAGAAAACAUGUAAUGGACACUGAUCAAGAAUCUGUAUCUCAAUCUGAUGUUCGUCUUAUGUCAACCGAUGAUCAAAUUAUGGGUAACAAAUCCAGCCAACGGUCAGGAUCUACCAGAAGAAGUCGUGCAGCUGAAGUUCAUAAUCUCUCAGAAAGGAAGAGGAGAGAUCGGAUCAAUGAGAGAAUGAAAGCUCUUCAAGAACUUAUACCUCAUUGCAAUAGAACUGAUAAAGCGUCGAUUUUGGAUGAAGCCAUAGACUACUUGAAAUCACUUCAAAUGCAACUCCAAGUGAUGUGGAUGGGAAGGGGAAUGGCUGCAGCAGCAGCGACUCCGAUGAUGUUUCCAGGUGUACAAUCAUCUCAGUACAUUAAUCAAAUGGCUAUGCAGAGUCAGAUGCAACAGCCACAAUUUCCGGUUAUGAACCGGCUUGUUGCACAGAGUCAUCCCUGUUUAGUAUGUCAAAACCCGGUUAUGCAGCUGCAGAUGCAAGCACAGAACCAUAUCUUAUCUGAGCAGCUUUCGAGGUACAUGGGUGGCUUUCCACCGAUGCCCGCGACUACUCAGGUGCAACAACAACCUAUGGAAGAAACUCAAAUCAUUAAAAAAUGAUACUGGCUCCUAAGAUUGUAUCAUUUAGUUACUUGCCUGAUGUUAGAAACUACUGAAACAGCUCUUUUGUUUUUGUUUUUUUAGAUUUUGUUGUGUGGUUCUGUGAGUGACCAGGCCGUUUGCUUGUGUUAGCUGAUUCCUCUGUGGCCUCGACUAUCUCCAUACUCGCUGUUCUACUCUUUCUGUUCCUCCGCCCCUACAGAAACAAAACACUCCUUUACUGAUA